CCAGGAAGUCCCUGGCGAAUUCUUUUGAAGCACAACCCCUACAAUCCGUGUGCCGGAGCAUAAAGAUUGAAGUGUGCGCGGUUCCUCCUCCCUCCGGGCCGCGCGUCCGGAACGUUCCUGGCUGUCAGCGCUGUGCUAGCAGGAAGGUCUGUGAAGUUUGCAAUAAAGCCAUUAUGAAGUCAAGAAUGGAGGUUCCAUUUUUAAAGAACUCAGAGGGGGUAGAUCUUGAUUGACAUCUCAUCUGGGGUCACCUGGUCUUCAACUGAGAGAUCUUUUGGUUCGCCACGGAUGCCCCUUGCAGUUAUGGAAGCUUCCCUGACCAGAGGUCGUUUUGAGUUUCCUUCUCUGGAAUUUGACCACUGAGCAGAGACACAUAGGAGAGAAGACGUGAAUGCUGAGUCAUCAAUCAGCAUCACUGGGAAGAAAAAGCCUCUCAGUUUCUUCUGCUGGGACUCCCAGAGCUGGAGUAUUUUCUGCUCUUCCUAAGGCCUGGUAAUUCAGCUCUUUGUGAGACUGUGAGCUUUACCAUACCCUUCCAGUAGCAACCUUCUUCUUUUUUAAGUUCAUUGCGGGGAAUAGGGAGUGAUGGCUGAUGGACAUAGGGUUUCUUUUUGGGGUGACAAAAAUCUUCUAAAAUUAAGUGGUGGUGAUGGUUGCACAAUUUUGAAUAUACUAAAAACCGUGAAUUCUAAAGUUUAAACAGGUGAAUUCUGUGCUAUAUAAAUUGUAUCUCAAUGAAAUUACUAAUAUUCUAAAGCCUCCCAAGUGACUUAGAUGUUCGGUGAGUGUUGAAAGCCAGUUAUUUAUCACAUCCUUAAGUCCUGCUACCUUUCUCUCACUCUCUAAGUUCAGUUUCCUCUUUGGUUUGACUUGGACCAAUCUGCAACAACUCUUGAUGUUUCUUGUAAAUUCUAUGACUAACUCCCAGAGCUUCUCCUGUCUAUCUGAUACGCAUUUAGCUUCUCCUUUCAGGCCUCAAACAGCAUGUUUAGAACAGAACUGAUCUUCUUCUCCCCAACCUGCUUUACCUUUUCUAUUUCUCACUCAGUUACUGGCACAAACUUCUCCAUAUAUGUUUAAGAAGACCUCUACUUUGACUUUCCCUGCUCCUUCUAACUUACAUCCAAUUAAUCAAAACGUUGUAUCAGUUUUAUUUCUGAAACAAUCUCUCCCAUCUUCCUUAUCUCUUCAUUCCACUGCCAGGUCUGAGUCCACCCUUUACUAUUUUCUGUUGGAUUAAGGCAAACCUCCUGUAAAGAGCUGCCCUGUCUCCUGCAGUCUCAUCCUCCAGUACCCCUUCAUGCCUACACUGAAGUCCUCUUCCUAAAACAGGAAUAGGGUUAACUCACUCACCUCCCCUAAACCUGUUAGUGGCUCUGCACUGAGUACUGGAUCAAGUCUAAUGUAAUGAGAAGGCCCAUUCAAUCUGGGCCAAACUUUCCUUCUUAGCCUAGUGUCCUCCUAUGCCCCCUGCACAGACCUUAGCUCCAAUCACACUAACCCAUGCCAUUACCUGGACACACUGUGCUAGUCUACACUCACGUGCCCCCAGCUCACAUCUCCCCUUUUCCUGGAAUGCCAUGUCCAUAUGGCCUGGAGAAUGACCUAAAGUUAGUGCCAGCAGAGAGCUUAUCAGUAGUGGGGCAGAUCACAGGGGAGAGCAGGUUUUGGAGCUAGGGUGAGGUGUCAAUGAGAAGAAGGGUGAUUUAUUAAGAAGUAAGCUCAUUUCAAGCCAUACACCUGAAACCUGACGCCCAAAGAGGAGGCAGAGACCCAAUCAACUACUGAUACAGUUUGUGAGGCUGGAGACUUGAGAGAACAAUAGGUUGAGGCAAGUGUAACCAAUGGAUUAAUUCCUUACCAAUCUAGGAUUCCUGGAGCGUGGAGUGCUCCAGGCCUGGUGGCACCAAGACUUUAAAAAGAAAAACCAUUACACAGUGAGAUUUGGUCUCUACACAAAAUUUAAAAAUUAGUGUGGUGUGGUCGCACACAACUGUAGUAACAGCUACUCAGGAGGCUGAGGUGGGAGGAUCGCUUGAGCCCAGGAGUUU
rnacentral:lncRNA from 1 species